AAGCAUAGUGUUAUUGUACCUACUAAAGAAAUAGAACUCAUUAUCAAAGGUAAAGAUAUGAAAAGAGGAAGAAGUCGAGCUAGAAGAAAAAUUCCCGCAACAACCAUAGUUGUUGCGUGUAUAAGGGCCGAAAUUGUGCGGAUAACCAUACGUGAAGAGGGAAUUGUGCGGAUUUCGCAACUGCACCAAGGAAUGAUAAAAAAGCACACAAAGUAG
rnacentral:rRNA from 1 species